GUUGUGCAACCAUCACCACCAUCCAUCGUCAGAACUUUUAUCUCCUAGACUGACUUUUUCCAUAGGAGGCGACUUUAAUAACCCACCUGGUACCUGGAUUUCUUUUACUUUUCACACUGUCUUUUAAUUAUCCUCUUCUGGAUAUUUCCUCUGGGCUUAAAAGGCCCUCUGUGGAGAAGUACAACAUAAGGGAGGUUUAGGUGACCAAAUGGAUCAGGAAAAUCAUGUUUAUCUCCCAAAGUAAAGCAACAACUAUGGGUGACUUUUGGGUUCAACUUAGGAACACUAUUAUUUGAAAGUCCCCAAGAAACUAUUAACUCCAGGUCACCCUGGUGACUCGAAUUUCUUGGAUGUGGGUCUUCAUGGUCUCCAACCAAAAGUCAUUUCCACCCAAGAGGGGUUCAGGUGAAAGCCCCAGGGCCUUCUCUAGGGUACAGGAGCACCCCAGACUGAGCUGGUUGUAGGACGGGCUCAGCGCCCUAGAGAGAAGAGCAGCCCAGAUCAGGGGACAUUUACAUUGAUUUUCCCAGGACAUUUCUACAAAUGGAUUUUGGAUGGAAAUGUUUGUUAUUGUUCUCAAUCAGGUGAUUUUCUCCUAUUUUAAUGAGACCAAAGAAAGACUAUUUUAAUUCUGGCCAAGCUGGUCUUGGGGAUUGAAAAAAAAUCUAACUUUUAGGAAUACUCUGGAAAUGUUGGAAUUCUACAUCUAAGUAGGUAAAUGUUUUUAAUUGAUAACUAACCCAAUAUGUGAAAAUCUAUACAAACAUGAAUAAGAGGAUGACUAAUACUGAAAUUAACAACAGUUUUCUUUUAAAUAUUAAUAGCAAAUUCCUAAAACUGUAUGAUUCUGUUUAUAAGAACGUGUUUCACACUGCUUGGCAAGACCAGUGACUGUGUAAAAUUAACUAUAUAUAUGUAUUUUCCAUGGAUCUAAAACUUUAACUGUCUAUAGGGUUGCUUGUCAUAGUUGAAUAUUGUUUAAUUGCUUUAUAAAUAUUAUUGAUUAUAUUUUGAUAUAUUUUAUAGUCAUUCACUUUUUUAAAAGUUUUAAUUUAUUGAUAACGUAGUCAUUCGCUUUCUUUCAAAUCUUAUUUUUACCACAAUAUGUUUCAUAGCUAGACACAAAAUUAAAUGGGUCCAAAUUGAACAAUUGCUUCUAUGUUAUUGGUUCAAUAUGGUUGGGUCUUCCUUGAUUCCCUUUUGUUUCAAUCCUGUCAUAUUCCUUUAGGCCAAGAAAAUGAAAGCUUAUCUGGAUUAUACUUACGCUUAAUAUCGACAUGGAUUAUAAGUGAGUGGAAAAACCACUCACUCAUAUACUCAGCCACCCUGGACUGAAGUGCUCUGUGGAACAGCCAGAAGUGUCCACGACGUGUUUGCACCUGAAGCUCGUGGAAUGUGUUUGAGGAGCCUCGAGCUCUGUGCAGAAACUGUGGCCCAAGAGCCAGGGUGGAAGAAGGCUGGAUGAGCAGACCACACGUGGAACGGAACCAGGGAAGAUCGUCAUCAUCUAUGGGGCAGACCCAAAGGAACCAACAGAGAUGGAGAAAUUAAUUCUCA